rnacentral:rRNA from 1 species
AUUGAACGCUGGCGGCAUGCCUUACACAUGCAAGUCGAACGGUAACAGGUCUUCGGAUGCUGACGAGUGGCGAACGGGUGAGUAAUACAUCGGAACGUGCCUAGUAGUGGGGGAUAACUACUCGAAAGAGUAGCUAAUACCGCAUGAGAUCUACGGAUGAAAGCAGGGGAUCGCAAGACCUUGUGCUACUAGAGCGGCCGAUGGCAGAUUAGGUAGUUGGUGGGAUAAAAGCUUACCAAGCCGACGAUCUGUAGCUGGUCUGAGAGGACGAUCAGCCACACUGGGACUGAGACACGGCCCAGACUCCGACGGGAGGCAGCAGUGGGGAAUUUUGGACAAUGGGCGAAAGCCUGAUCCAGCAAUGCCGCGUGCAGGAUGAAGGCCUUCGGGUUGUAAACUGCUUUUGUACGGAACGAAAAGCUUCGGGUUAAUACCCUGGAGUCAUGACGGUACCGUAAGAAUAAGCACCGGCUAACUACGUGCCAGCCGCCGCAGUAA